CAGGAACAGAGGGGUUGAGGGCCCUGCUCAAUGAACUAACAUGCUAGAGGGAGUGGGGUAAAAUGACACAAAAAGGUAAGGAUAGUAUUAGACUAAUGACAGUUGCAGAAGAGGAAUCAGUCAGGAGCUAUUAACAGUUUAAGUGAUACGCUUUUAUGAAGAAGUGGGUUUUUAACGAUUUUUUGAAGGAAUGGAGACUGGGUGAGCAUCUAAUGGAGGAGGGAAGCG